GCUGACGUGGCCUAAUGGCAGGGCAUCUGGUUUCGACCCAGAUGGUACUGGUUCGAAACCAGUCGUUAACA
rnacentral:tRNA from 1 species